UGGCUCAGCGGUUAAGAGCACUGGCUGCUUGGUCUUCCAGAGGUCCUGGGUUCAAUUCCCAG
rnacentral:tRNA from 1 species